UACGUAGGUGGCGAGCGUUGUCCGGAUUUACUGGGCGUAAAGGGGCGUAGGCGGACUUUUAAGUGAGAUAUGAAAUACCCGGGCUCAACUUGGGUACUGCAUUUCAAACUGGAAGUCUAGAGUGCAGGAGAGGAGAAUGGAAUUCCUAGUGUAGCGGUGAAAUGCGUAGAGAUUAGGAAGAACACCAGUGGCGAAGGCGAUUCUCUGGACUAUAACUGACACUGAGGCACGAAAGCGUGGGGAGCAAACAGGAUUAGAUACCCGGGUAGUUCCUGA
rnacentral:rRNA from 1 species